rnacentral:rRNA from 1 species
CCUACGGGAGGCACCAGUGGGGAAUAUUGGACAAUGGGCGCAAGCCUGAUCCAGCCAUGCCGCGUGAGUGAAGAAGGCCUUAGGGUUGUAAAGCUCUUUCACCGGUGAAGAUGAUGACGGUACCCGUAGAAGAAGCCCCGGCUAACUUCGUGCCAGCAGCCGCGGUAAUACGAAGGGGGCUAGCGUUGCUCGGAAUGACUGGGCGUAAAGGGCGCGUAGGCGGUUUAUGCAGUCAGAUGUGAGAUCCCCGGGCUUAACCUGGGAACUGCAUUUGAGACGCAUAGACUAGAGGUCGAGAGAGGGUUGUGAAAUUCCCAGUGUAGAGGUGAAAUUCGUAGAUAUUGGGAAGAACACCGGUGGCGAAGGCGGCAACCUGGCUCGAUACUGACGCUGAGGCGCGAAAGCGUGGGGAGCAAACAGGAUUAGAUACCCGGGUAGUC